GACGAACCGUGCGAACGUUGUUCGGAUUCACUGGGCUUAAAGGGCGCGUAGGCGGCGUGACAAGUCGGGGGUGAAAUCUUUCGGCCCAACCGGAAAAGGGCCCCCGAUACUGGUACGCUGGAGGGAGAUAGGGGCGCGCGGAACUUCCGGUGGAGCGGUGAAAUGCGUAGAUAUCGGGAGGAACACCAAUGGCGAAGGCAGCUCGCUGGGACGGUACUGGACGCUGAGGUGCGAAAGCGUGGGGAGCAAACAGG
rnacentral:rRNA from 1 species